rnacentral:lncRNA from 1 species
GUUAUUAUCUUGAAUAUUAUUAUAGAUAGAGAUAAACUGUAAACAGCAAAAAUGUUCAGCAAAGUAAGAUCUACAAAUAAGUCAACAUGACCAAAAUGGCUGUUGACCCUUUAGAAGUUAUUUGCCCUUUAUAGUCAAUUUUUAACCAUUUUUCGUAAAUCUUAAUUAUCUUUUACAAAAAUCUUCUCCUCUGAAACUAUUGGACCAAAUUAAACCAAAC